GGGCUUGUAGGUAAAUGGUAUACCGUAUCAUUCGCAUUGAUAAAUUGGCGGUUCGAUUCCGCCCAAGUCCA
rnacentral:tRNA from 1 species